CCUUGGUAUUAUUAUAACGUGCACCCAGUGGCGGCUCGUGCAAAUACUAAUGGGGGGUUCACAUUUAACAUGAGCAACAAGAUCUAGAUCUUUAAUAAUUUGUUAAACCCCAUGUUUCAAGUGAAUUUUGUUCGUUUCACAUAGUAGAAUGUAAUUUUUUAUUCCUAGAAGAGUACUAGGCCUAUCAUAUUAUUACGUAGGUAACAAAAUAUUCUAAUGGGUUGUAUUAUAUUAAGUACCUAUAUAAUAAUUUGGAUUUUCGUUUAAUAAUAAUAAGUAUUUAGAUAUA